rnacentral:rRNA from 1 species
GCCAACGGCCAUACCAUGUUGAAUACAGAGAUUCUCGUCCGAUCACCGAAGUGAAGCAAUAUCGUGCGUGGUUAGUAUCUGGAUGGGUGACCGCCUGGGAACACCUCGUGCAGUUGGCA